UUCCCUUAGUAGCGGCGAGCGAAUAGGGAAGAGCCCAGCACUUAAUCUCGCGGGUGUACGCUCGCCGAGAAAUGUGGUGUUUGGGAGGGUCCGACUAUCCCGGGAUGUCUCGGCGAGUCCAAGUCCAUCUUGAAUGGGGCCACGGCCCGUAGAGGGUGCCAGGCCCGUAGGACCGUUGACUGUCUCGGGAGGCCCUUUCCCUAGAGUCGGGUUGC
rnacentral:rRNA from 2 species